rnacentral:rRNA from 1 species
CCCGGAUGUUAGCGGCGGACGGGUGAGUAACACGUGGGUAACCUGCCUGUAAGACUGGGAUAACUCCGGGAAACCGGAGCUAAUACCGGAUAGUUCCUUGAACCGCAUGGUUCAAGGAUGAAAGACGGUUUCGGCUGUCACUUACAGAUGGACCCGCGGCGCAUUAGCUAGUUGGUGAGGUAACGGCUCACCAAGGCGACGAUGCGUAGCCGACCUGAGAGGGUGAUCGGCCACACUGGGACUGAGACACGGCCCAGACUCCUACGGGAGGCAGCAGUAGGGAAUCUUCCGCAAUGGACGAAAGUCUGACGGAGCAACGCCGCGUGAGUGAUGAAGGUUUUCGGAUCGUAAAGCUCUGUUGUUAGGGAAGAACAAGUGCAAGAGUAACUGCUUGCACCUUGACGGUACCUAACCAGAAAGCCACGGCUAACUACGUGCCAGCAGCCGCGGUAAUACGUAGGUGGCAAGCGUUGUCCGGAAUUAUUGGGCGUAAAGGGCUCGCAGGCGGUUUCUUAAGUCUGAUGUGAAAGCCCCCGGCUCAACCGGGGAGGGUCAUUGGAAACUGGGAAACUUGAGUGCAGAAGAGGAGAGUGGAAUUCCACGUGUAGCGGUGAAAUGCGUAGAGAUGUGGAGGAACACCAGU